CCUAUGGGCGGCAGCAGUGGGGAAUAUUGGACAAUGGGGGGAACCCUGAUCCAGCCAUGCCGCGUGUGUGAAGAAGGCCCUCGGGUUGUAAAGCACUUUCAGUGAGGAAGAACGCCUGGUGGUUAAUACCCAUCAGGAAAGACAUCACUCACAGAAGAAGCACCGGCUAACUCCGUGCCAGCAGCCGCGGUAAUACGGAGGGUGCGAGCGUUAAUCGGAAUUACUGGGCGUAAAGCGCGCGUAGGUGGCUUGAUAAGCCGGUUGUGAAAGCCCCGGGCUCAACCUGGGAACGGCAUCCGGAACUGUCAAGCUAGAGUGCAGGAGAGGAAGGUAGAAUUCCCGGUGUAGCGGUGAAAUGCGUAGAGAUCGGGAGGAAUACCAGUGGCGAAGGCGGCCUUCUGGACUGACACUGACACUGAGGUGCGAAAGCGUGGGUAGCAAACAGGAUUAGAUACCCGUGUAGUC
rnacentral:rRNA from 1 species